AGGGACGGAUUUAGUGAAGGGCCCCAGGCAAAAUAUAGGAAUGGGGCCCUAUACAUUUUCACACAUUUUCUUAGAUCAACCUUGAGGUUCCUUUUUUUGUUUUGAUGCUUGCUGUUGCACAAUGAUGCCCUACCUUUGCCUAAUUGGUAAGUCCCUUCCUUGAUUGCGCCUAUAUCAGGUUGCACCAGGUAGUGAGAUGCAACUGACAUCACAGCAGAUCAGGCUACAUGUGUGUAGCAAUGAAGAGACUUGAAUGCCAGUACCCUGGCUCCCAGUUCUUCAGUUUUCUGUGUGACCAAACUCCAGUCCAAAUGUUGGCUACUUUUUUUGUCCUGGUUGUUUUUGUUUGGUUUUAAUGCUGCCAGUUAGUUUUAAUAUGUUAAUGACCAGGGUAAGAUUAUCAGUUUCGAUAGAACUAAUUUGUUCCAUAACUCACUAUCAAUAAUGCAUUCAUGUGCAUUUAGACGGUGGGCCGAGGGUCCAUAUCUGCUUUACUUUUCGAAAUGGAUGAUCCCCAUGGAGGGAGAACCUGGAUUUGUAAAGUUGGGACGGUUGUUUUAUUCUCAACGAUAUGAAAAGUGUUGCCACUCCCAUUUAUUGCACAUUUUCCCCGAAAUCAUAAUGCACAACCCGUAAAUAUGCAGGCAAACGCGGUUGGCUACUAUAUUAAUUGAGCCAAUAGCGUGGCAAGAUACUGACAUGGGAUUAUUAUUAACCAAUCAGAUGUAGCUUAUUUAGAACAGCUGUUACACGGAUGAUUUAGCUAUCAGACACGAGCAGCAGCAGCACAUUGAUCAUCGUCAAGGACAUUCUUUGUGUGACUUGCACAAGUUCCAGCAUGGCCUCUGGAGCUGGUGGAAGUGUCAUCCAGUCCACUCCGUAGAAAUCUCCUACCAUCUUCCAGCCAUGAUUUACAGGACGAGGUAUGUCUGGCAUGCACUCAAGACUCCUUCAGUGUACUGCAGCCUGAUAGCUUGCCCGCUGGAUGUGUUUAUCCAAGGAGUCUUUGUUUGUUAUUAUAUUUCUUUCUAACCUUUCUUUUUUCUUUUAUCUAUUCUUUCUUUUUUCUUUCUUUCCACCUAAUUUUUCUUUCUUUCUACCUAUCUAUCGAACUGUAUUGCCUUAACUUUCAGGCUAGGCUUUUUCAAGCCAACUCAAAAGUUUGCCAACAAGUUUCAUCUAGUUUUUUGUACAAAUCUUAUAUUGUUACUGCAACUACACUGCACAUAUCUGUAUAUGUUGUUCAUACUGUAUAUCUAUUCUGCUCUUAUAUAUAAUAUAUUUAAUUUAUAUUACUGUAAACCAUACUACUUUCUUAACUGCAUACUACUGUCCAUACUGCACUGUACAGUACAGGUCAAAAGUUUGAAUGUCAUAAAGAAUAAUAAUAGUUAAUCGCAGUUGAUUCUCGCAUAUGCAUUCAUAUAUGCACAAAUAACAUGUUAUAUAACAAUGUUAAACCAUGCAGUGCAUAAGUUUAAGUUAAAUACAUUAACCAGUUUUCAAUCCCCAAUUGACAAAUUACCAGCAAAACAUUUAAAAAGCUGACAAAAACUUUCAUAAACAAUCUUUUUUAUAAUAAACAAACAAUAUAUCACA
ensembl:lncRNA